rnacentral:sRNA from 1 species
CGUGGGUGGGGAAGGGAAAGAAAGACUAGAGAAGACCGGGUGGGAGGGAGAGGUGCCAUCUAAGACAGAAGUGAGCCAAGAUGCCCAGGGUGUGGCUGAGGGGCAGGUGCAGAGGAAGGAAGAAGCAUUUGUUAGAACAAGCACUUUGGACAGAGAGCGCACCGGGAGGCCCACAGUGCUGAGCCAGGCGAUAGAGGUAGAUAACUCCUUUGAUGAAGACUGACAACUCUUCAAAUACAAUAAGCUACAGUGUUACCAGUGUCUUAGAUACGUGUCCCGCGCGCGACUUCCCACCG